rnacentral:rRNA from 1 species
UGUGGGAUCAGUGGCGAACGGGUGAGUAACACGUGAGCAACCUGCCCCUGACUCUGGGAUAAGCGCUGGAAACGGCGUCUAAUACUGGAUAUGUGACGUGACCGCAUGGUCUGCGUCUGGAAAGAAUUUCGGUUGGGGAUGGGCUCGCGGCCUAUCAGCUUGUUGGUGAGGUAAUGGCUCACCAAGGCGUCGACGGGUAGCCGGCCUGAGAGGGUGACCGGCCACACUGGGACUGAGACACGGCCCAGACUCCUACGGGAGGCAGCAGUGGGGAAUAUUGCACAAUGGGCGCAAGCCUGAUGCAGCAACGCCGCGUGAGGGACGACGGCCUUCGGGUUGUAAACCUCUUUUAGCAGGGAAGAAGCGAAAGUGACGGUACCUGCAGAAAAAGCGCCGGCUAACUACGUGCCAGCAGCCGCGGUAAUACGUAGGGCGCAAGCGUUAUCCGGAAUUAUUGGGCGUAAAGAGCUCGUAGGCGGUUUGUCGCGUCUGCUGUGAAAUCCGGAGGCUCAACCUCCGGCCUGCAGUGGGUACGGGCAGACUAGAGUGCGGUAGGGGAGAUUGGAAUUCCUGGUGUAGCGGUGGAAUGCGCAGAUAUCAGGAGGAACACCGAUGGCGAAGGCAGAUCUCUGGGCCGUAACUGACGCUUUGUGGGGUCCAUUCCACGGAUUCCGUGACGCAGCUAACGCAUUAAGUUCCCCGCCUGGGGAGUACGGCCGCAAGGCUAAAACUCAAAGGAAUUGACGGGGACCCGCACAAGCGGCGGAGCAUGCGGAUUAAUUCGAUGCAACGCGAAGAACCUUACCAAGGCUUGACAUAUACGAGAACGGGCCAGAAAUGGUCAACUCUUUGGACACUCGUAAACAGGUGGUGCAUGGUUGUCGUCAGCUCGUGUCGUGAGAUGUUGGGUUAAGUCCCGCAACGAGCGCAACCCUCGUUCUAUGUUGCCAGCACGUAAUGGUGGGAACUCAUGGGAUACUGCCGGGGUCAACUCGGAGGAAGGUGGGGAUGACGUCAAAUCAUCAUGCCCCUUAUGUCUUGGGCUUCACGCAUGCUACAAUGGCCGGUACAAAGGGCUGCAAUACCGCGAGGUGGAGCGAAUCCCAAAAAGCCGGUCCCAGUUCGGAUUGAGGUCUGCAACUCGACCUCAUGAAGUCGGAGUCGCUAGUAAUCGCAGAUCAGCAACGCUGCGGUGAAUACGUUCCCGGGUCUUGUACACACCGCCCGUCAAGUCAUGAAAGUCGGUAACACCUGAAGCCGGUGGCCUAACCCUUGUGGAGGGAGCCGUCGAAGGUGGGAUCGGUAAUUAGGACUAAGUCGUAACAAGGUAACCA